CCCUUAGAUGUUCUGGGCUGCACGCGCGCUACACUGGUGCGUUCACUACGUUUUCCUGACCUUGCCAGGUUGGGCAAUCUGUAAAACGCACCGUGAUGGGGAUAGAUCAUUGCAAUUAUUGAUCUUCAACGAGGAAUUCCUAGUAAGUGCGAGUCAUCAGCUCGUGCUGAUUACGUCCCUGCCCUUUGUACACACCGCCCGUCGCUCCUACCGAUUGGGUGAUCCGGUGAGCUAUUCGGACCUUUGCACUUUUCGGUUCCCGAAUGUGCGGGGGAAAGCUUCGCGAACCUUAUCACCUAGAGGAAGGAGAAGUCGUAACA
rnacentral:rRNA from 1 species